rnacentral:misc_RNA from 1 species
UCACUAAUCAAGCCCGGCUUGCUGUUGGACCUCUUGUCGUCAAAAGACAGGCCCCAAAGAUAAUGACGGUGUUAUUAGAACCCUAGAUGCAACGAGCUUUAACCAGCACGCAUGAUAGUGGCCUUUUAACCCGGUCUUUUUUAACCAUUUUUUAA